GUGGAUUAGAUACCCCAGUAGUCCACGCCGUAAACGAUGGAUACUAGCUGUUGGGCGCAAGUUCAGUGGCUAAGCGAAAGUGAUAAGUAUCCCACCUGGGGAGUACGAACGCAAGUUUGAAACUCAAAGGAAUUGACGGGGGCCCGCACAAGCGGUGGAGCAUGUGGUUUAAUUCGAUGAUACGCGAGGAACCUUACCAAGGCUUAAAUGCAGACUGACCGAUUUGGAAACAGAUCUUUCGCAAGACAGUUUACAAGGUGCUGCACGGUCGUCGACAACU
rnacentral:rRNA from 1 species